rnacentral:lncRNA from 1 species
AAGCUCAAUGAUACAACUUUGACUUUAGACGUAUUUGUAAUUGAUUGGUAGUUAGAAAUUUAGUCAAUAAAUUAGCCACGUAUUGUACAUAUUGGUAGCUUAUUGAACAUGCUAAUUAUAUGGCAUAUAUAUACAAAACUUUCCUUUCAAGUUAAGAUAUAUGUCUUUUAAUUUAGAUACAUAUUAGAGGUCCUAUAAAACAUCACCACAU